CUCAAGAACCUUCUCAAACCUCAGAAUCUGUUUCUGGGAAGAUCUGGCUGCACAGCCCUCAGUUUCAAAACUACAAACUUCCUCCGACCUCCCGGAGGUUACAGUGUAAGGGGAAAGACACACCACCUGCAUGGCGGUGAGCGAGCUGAGCAGCGCGACCCUGAGGCUUCCAACAAGUGCCUGGUAGAGCUGAGCAUCUCACAGAAAGCAGCAAACCAACCAGGUGAAGGCUGGCUGAGCUCUGUGGCCUCUAUCAUCGGUUCCUCUCUGUGGUUUUCUCACCUUUUAAACCUGCCCACGACCACCUGGCCUUACAGAGAGGUAACUAGAUGAUGAUCCCCAUCCCCCACUGGCACCCAGCACUUUCUGGUCCCAGAUGGUAGAGAGCAGACCCUAGUUCUCUCUAACUCUACCAAACCUGCCUCUCUGAUGCCUAAUUGGUACAUUCGCUACCAUUAGGUAUCCAACCUUGUGAC